rnacentral:rRNA from 1 species
AACGAGCGCUGGCGGCAGGCUUAACACAUGCAAGUCGAACGGGCAUAGCAAUAUGUCAGUGGCAGACGGGUGAGUAACACGUGGGAACCUUCCUAGAGGUACGGAACAACGCAGGGAAACUUGUGCUAAUACCGUAUACGCUCGAGAGAGGAAAGAUUUAUCGCCUUUAGACGGGCCCGCGUAGGAUUAGGUAGUUGGUGAGGUAACGGCUCACCAAGCCUACGAUCCUUAGCUGAUCUGAGAGGAUGAUCAGCCACACUGGGACUGAGACACGGCCCAGACUCCUACGGGAGGCAGCAGUGGGGAAUCUUGGACAAUGGGCGCAAGCCUGAUCCAGCCAUGCCGCGUGAGUGAAGAAGGCCUUCGGGUUGUAAAGCUCUUUUACCAGGGACGAUAAUGACGGUACCUGGAGAAUAAGCCCCGGCUAACUUCGUGCCAGCAGCCGCUGUAA